UACGUAGGGGGCAAGCGUUGUCCGGAUUUAUUGGGCGUAAAGAGCGUGUAGGCGGCUUUACAGGUCCGUUGUGAAAACUCGAGGCUCAACCUCGAGACGCCGGUGGAAACCGUAAAGCUAGAGUCCGGAAGAGGAGAGUGGAAUUCCUGGUGUAGCGGUGAAAUGCGCAGAUAUCAGGAUGAACACCCGUGGCGAAGGCGGCUCUCUGGGACGGUACUGACGCUGAGACGCGAAAGCGUGGGGAGCGAACAGG
rnacentral:rRNA from 1 species